rnacentral:rRNA from 1 species
AACGAACGCUGGCGGCGCGCUUAACACAUGCAAGUCGAACGAGAAGCUGUAGCAAUACAGUUGUAAAGUGGCAAACGGGUGAGUAAUGCGUGGGUAAUCUACCCUCGGGUGGGGAAUAACUCUUCGAAAGGAGAGCUAAUGCCGACAUGUGCAUCACUUUCGCAAGAAGGUGCUGGAAAGCCGUAUCGUGGAUACGGCGCCCAAGGUUGAGCUCACGUCCUAUCAGCUUGUUGGCGGGGUAACGGCCCACCAAGGCUCCGACGGGUAGCUGGUCUGAGAGGACGACCAGCCACACUGGGCACUGCGACACGGGCCAGACUCCUACGGGAGGCAGCAGUGAGGGAAUAUUGCGCAAUGGGACGAAAGUCUGACGCAGCGACGCCGCGUGGGGA